rnacentral:tRNA from 1 species
AUGAAAUAGCUGGAGCAAAAGAACGGCUUCUAACCGUUUUUUGAGCAGUUCGAUUCUGUUCGUUUUAUU